rnacentral:rRNA from 1 species
UUAGGAAUCUUCCCCAAUGGGGGCAACCCUGAGGGAGCGACGCCGCGUGAGGGAUGAAGGUUUUCGGAUCGUAAACCUCUGAAUCUGGGACGAAAGACCGGGACAACCGGAGAUGACGGUACCAGAGUAAUAGCACCGGCUAACUCCGUGCCAGCAGCCGCGGUAAUACGGAGGGUGCAAGCGUUACCCGGAAUCACUGGGCGUAAAGGGCGUGUAGGCGGCCUACCAAGUCUGGUUUUAAAGACUGCGGCUCAACCGCAGAAGUGGACUGGAGACUGGUAGGCUAGACCUCUGGAGAGAGAACUGGAAUUCCUGGUGUAGCGGUGGAAUGCGUAGAUACCAGGAGGAACACCGAUGGCGAAGGCAGGUUCUUGGACAGAAGGUGACGCUGAGGCGCGAAAGUGUGGGGAGCAAACC